rnacentral:lncRNA from 1 species
GUGAAGAAGGAAAAAAACUUUAGAAAGCUAUUAUGGUCAAACCAAAAGUAAGAAAAAUUACCUUUGUGUUAACUCAUUGGUAAGUAUCUAAUAUGGACUUCAAAUAUGAGUACUUUGCUAAUUCUCCCUUAAAAAUAUCAAACAAAUGCAAUCCUUUAAUAAACACCUUCUAUUUAAUAUUCCUUAAAAAAUCAGACUAUGCACAAAUCAUAACUAAUACAAUCCACUUACAAACCAGUAGGAGUUCAAAUAAUUAUAAUUUACCCUAAAUGGCUAAAUCAAAUCAAUGUAUUUGCCACUUCCUCAUAAAU